AUUGAACGCUGGCGGAAUGCUUUACACAUGCAAGUCGAACGGCAGCACGGACUUCGGUCUGGUGGCGAGUGGCGAACGGGUGAGUAAUAUAUCGGAACGUGCCCAGUCGUGGGGGAUAACGUAGUGAAAAUUACGCUAAUACCGCAUACGAUCUACGGAUGAAAGCGGGGGACCGUAAGGCCUCGCGCGAUUGGAGCGGCCGAUGUUAGAUUAGGUAGUUGGUGGGGUAAAGGCUCACCAAGCCGACGAUCUAUAGCUGGUCUGAGAGGAUGAUCAGCCACACUGGGACUGAGACACGGCCCAGACUCCUAUGGGAGGCAGCAGUGGGGAAUUUUGGACAAUGGGCGCAAGCCUGAUCCAGCAAUGCCGCGUGCAGGAUGAAGGCCUUCGGGUUGUAAACUGCUUUUGUACGGAGCGAAAAGGCUCUCUCUAAUAAAGGGGGCUCAUGACGGUACCGUAAGAAUAAGCACCGGCUAACUACGUG
rnacentral:rRNA from 1 species